rnacentral:rRNA from 1 species
AGAGUUUGAUCCUGGCUCAGGACGAACGCUGGCGGCGUGCUUAACACAUGCAAGUCACGGGGGCUCGCAAGAGCAACCGGCGAACGGGUGCGUAACACGUGAGGAACCUGCCGAUCUGCGGGGGAUAGCCGGCCCAACGGCCGGGUAAUACCGCAUACGCUUCUCGAGCGGAGUCGCUUGGGAAGGAAACCUCCGGGGCAGAUCGAGGGUCUCGCGGCCUAUCAGCUUGUUGGCGAGGUCACGGCUCACCAAGGCGACGACGGGUAGCUGGUCUGAGAGGAUGGCCAGCCACAUUGGGACUGAGAAACGGCCCAGACUCCUACGGGAGGCAGCAGUGGGGAAUCUUGCGCAAUGGCCGAAAGGCUGACGCAGCGACGCCGCGUGGGGGAUGAAGGGUUUCGGCUCGUAAACCCCUGUUGCCCGGGACGAAUCCUAGGUUUCGACCUAGUUGACGGUACCGGGUGAGGAAGCACCGGCUAACUCCGUGCCAGCCGCCGCGGUAAUAC